rnacentral:rRNA from 1 species
UACGGGGGGGGCAAGCGUUGUUCGGAAUUACUGGGCGUAAAGGGCUCGUAGGCGGCCAACUAAGUCAGACGUGAAAUCCCUCGGCUUAACCGGGGAACUGCGUCUGAUACUGGAUGGCUUGAGUUUGGGAGAGGGAUGCGGAAUUCCAGGUGUAGCGGUGAAAUGCGUAGAUAUCGAGAGGAACACCGGUGGCGAAGGCGGCGAUCUGGACGAUGACUGACGCUGAGACGCGAAAGCGUGGGGAGCAAACAGG